rnacentral:sRNA from 1 species
UAGUGGGAGCAAUAUUUUGUUAGAGUAAAAUUCUUUUAGAGGUAAUGGAGAAAGUGUUUAAGUGUUUUGAGAGAGUUUUUUAGGAAAUAGAACUUUUAUUACUUUGCUUUAAACUUGAAUACAACUUCACAAUAUUACAACAUUUGAGAAGGGGAGGAGGUAUUUAUAGCCUCCAAACUACAAAAUAUCUAAAAUAUUUUAAUCCUAAGUCUAGAGAGUUCUUACAUAAGAUCUAGAUUACAUUAUUCAAAUUAUCUAGAUUAUUCUAUUAGAGUAUCUAGAUUUUUAUGUUUAAGGAGGUGGAAGAUGAUUCUAGAAAAUUUCUAGAAUCUUUUAAGGAGGUGGAAAUGAUGAUAUUUCUAAAGAAAACUCUAGAACUUGGAUUUGGCCAUAAUUAAUUAUUGGAUAAUUGAUCCAAUAAUUAAACUUGAUUCAAAAUCAAGUUUAACUUUCAACACCCCCUCUUAAACUUGAUUUUGCUACUCCAAGCAAACUCCUCAUCUUGAUAAAGUCUUCACGCUUGAGAGGCUUGGUAAAAAUAUCGGCUACUUGAUCAUGUGUCUUCACAUACUCCAAUUGCACGUCCUUCUUGCUAACACACUCUCUAAUGUAGUGAUAGCGUGUGUCAAUGUGUUUACUUCGAUCAUGGAAGACCGGGUUCUUCGCCAAAGCUAUUGCCGACUUGUUGUCCACAAAGAUCUUCGUUGGUUCCUCUUGUGGUAAGCUUAACUCCUUCAAGAGGUUUCUUAACCAAAUAGCAUGGCAUACACAUGACGUAGCCGCUACAUACUCCGCUUCACAAGUGGAUAGAGUGACAAUUGGUUGUUUCUUCGACAUCCAUGUGAAAGCCGUGUCUCCAAUGUAAAACACAAAACCACUUGUACUCUUUCGGUCAUCUACGUCUCCACCCCAAUCGCUAUCGCUAUAUCCAACAAGCUUGUAAUCACUAGUAGUUGAAUAAUGUAAGCCAAAGUUUACGGUACCUUUGAUAUAGCGAAGAAUCCUUUUUGCCGCUUUGAAAUGAGUUGUUGUUGGAUGCUCCAUGUAACGACUAACAACUCCGACCGCAUAUAAAAUAUCGGGCCUUGUGCAUGUUAAGUAUCUCAAGCUUCCAACCAAGCUCUUAAAGGUUGUUGGAUCCACUCCUUCCCCUUCUUCUUUCUUUGAUAGUUUGAUUCCGCAUUCCAUUGGUGUACAAACGGGAUUUGAGUCAUCCAUCUUGAACUUCUUAAGUACCUCCUUAGCAUAGCCUUCUUGAGUUAUGAAUAUUCCAUUGUCUUCUUGUUUUACUUCAAUUCCGAGAUAGUAAGACAUCAAUCCAAUGUCCGUCAUCUCGAACUCCUUCGUCAUCUCUUUCUUGAAUUCUUCGAACAUGCUUGGAUUGUUACCCGUGAAUAUCAAGUCAUCUACAUAUAAGCAUGCGAUCAAUAUAUCUUCUUUUUGAAUUUUGAUAUAGAGUGCAUGCUCAUAUGGACACUUGAUGAAAUCUUUCUCCUUGAAAUACUUGUCAAUUCGAGUAUUCCAAGCUCUUGGGGCUUGUUUUAAUCCAUAAAGCGCCUUUUUUAGUCUCAAGACUUUGUCUUCUUCACCUUUGACUAUGUAGCCUUGUGGUUGCUCAAUGUAAACUUCUUCUUCAAGAUCUCCAUUUAAGAAGGCCGACUUGACAUCCAUUUGAUGUAUCUUCCACUUGUUUUGAGCCGCUAGUGAGAUGAUUAGUCUAACCGUUUCUAGACGAGCAACGGGAGCAAAUACCUCGUCAUAGUCAAUUCCGGCUCUUUGACUAUAACCUUUUGCAACCAAUCUUGCUUUGUAUCUUUCCACUUCUCCUUUAGAGUUUUUCUUUGCUUUAUACACCCACUUCACGCCAAUUGCCUUGUGUCCAUUUGGAAGUGAAGUUAACUCCCAUGUGUCAUUCUUUUGUAUUGAUUUGAUCUCUUCAUCCAUGGCAUUUCUCCAAGUCUUCUUUUCAAUGGCUUCUUGGAAAUCCAUGGGUUCGCACUUUUCUUCUAUUUGAGAACUUGUUGGUGAAGUUGGUGGUGUAGUAGGCUCUUCACUUGGUGGCUCCUCUCUUGUUGGCUCCGGCUUAUCUUCUUCAAAAUGUGGAAAGAAGUUAUAAUCUUCUUCAUUUGAGUUCCAAUCCCAUUCUCCUUCUUCAUCGAACACUAUAUUUCGACUAAUAAUUGUCUUCUUCGUAUCGGGAUUAUAGAGCUUGUAGCCUUUGGAGUUGUUAUCAUAACCAAUGAAGAUAUACUUCUCACUUUUGUCAUCUAGUUUGCUCCGCUUCUCAUCCGGUACAUGAGCAUGAGCAAUACUUCCAAAGACUCUUAAAUGAGAAACACCGGGCUUUCUUCCGCUCCAAGCUUCUUGUGGUGUUUUUCCGGAGACACUUUUUGUUGGAGAUCGAUUUAAUAGAUAAACCGCACACGCGACCGCUUCCGCCCACAACUCUUUUGGUAGUCUCUUACUUUUGAGCAUGCUCCUUGCCAUCUCAAGAAUUGUUCUAUUCUUUCUUUCCGCUACACCAUUUUGUUGAGGGGAUCUUGGCACCGUUAAUUGUCUUCGAAUGCCGUUGUCUUCACAAUACUUAAGAAACUCCUUGGAUGUAAAUUCUCCUCCACGGUCGGAUCUCAUGGUUUUGAUCACAAGACCACUCUCCUUCUCAACAUGGGCUUUAAACUUUUUGAAAAUUUCGAACACCUCGGAUUUUUCUUUCAAAAAAUAUACCCAUGUUUUUCUUGAAAAAUCAUCAAUAAAGAGAAGGAAGUAAUUACUUUUACCAAGUGAUUUCGGCUUGAUCGGACCACACACAUCGGUGUGUAUUAGCUCCAACGGUUUUUGUGCUCUUGAACUUGACUCCUUUGGAAAGCUCAUUUUGAAUUGCUUUCCAAGUAGACAUCCUUCACACACUUGAUUUGGAUGAUUUAUACAAGGUAGCCCUCUCACCAUUUCCUUCCUUGAAAGCAACUCCAAUCCUCCAAAAUUUAGAUGUCCGAAUCGAAGAUGCCAUAGCCAAGACUCCUCUUUGUAACACAUCUUAAGACAUUGUGCAAUGUCAUUUCGAAUGUUGAGGACAAACAUUCUAUUUUUCGACAUUGGCACCUUGGUAAUGAGAUUGCUUUCUUGGUCUCUUAUUGAAAGGUUAUUAUCUUUUAAUCUAAUAUCAUAACCUUUCUCUAAGAGUUGUCCAAGGCUCAAGAUGUUUGUCUUCAUGCUCGGAAUAUAGUAAACGUUGGAAAUAAAUUGAUGAUCUCCAUUCUUCAAUCGAAUAAGAAUGUUUCCUUUACCUUUUACCUCCAUCUUCGAUUCAUCUCCUAAAGCCACAUUUCCUCUCACCGAUUCAUCAAGCUCCGCGAACAUACUUUUUCUCCCGCACAUGUGAUUACUUGCACCACUAUCGAGGUACCACUUAUGAUUCUCUUCUUGUUCAUCUUUCUUGUAGCUAGCCAUUAAUAACAUGUCUUCUUCUUGAAUUUUUUCUUCAACGUAGUUGGCCUUCUCCUCAAAUUUUUUGUUGCUAGGAGCUUUACAUUCAGAAGCAUAAUGUCCAAACUUCCCACAAUUGUAGCAUUUGACACUUGAUUUAUCGUAUCUUGAUUUUGGGUGUCCUUUCCCACGACCUCUUGAUGAGUUUUCACCUCUUUGGUUUGUGUUGUCUUCAUGUGGCCUCCAACCACGUCCAUUUCCAUAUCCACCACGACCUCGUCCUCGUACUUGACCACCACCUCUUCUUUGGUAACUUUGGCCGUUUUCUUCUUUUGUAAUUUGCAUAUUGAGGACUUGUUCGACGAUAUCUUCUUUCUUCUUCUUCUUUUCUUCAUAAGCUUGUAAUGACCCAAGAAGUUGCUCUAUUGUCAUAGCUUCUAAAUCUUUUGUUUCUUCAAUGACGGUGACAAUAUGCUCAAAUUUUAGAUCCAAUGAUCUAAGAACUUUCUCCAUGAUUCUCACAUCAUCUAGCUUCUCUCCGUUUCUUUUAAGGUUAUUAGUAACCGUCAACACUCUUGAGAAGUAAUCGGAGACGAGUUCACCUUCCUUCAUUUGUAGUGCUUCAAAUUCUCCUCUUAGAGUUUGAAGACGUACUUUCUUGACUUGAUCGGCACCUUUGUAAGAGGUUCGAAGCUUCUCCCAUGCUUCUUUCGCCGACGUAGCUUCAACGACCUUCUCGAACGUAUCUUCAUCUAAUCCUUGAUAGAUUAGACAGAGAGCUUUCUUGUCUCUCUUUCUUGAGUCUCUCAAACCAUCUUUUUGAGUUUGAGAAAGACUACCUUCAUUCUCCGGUUCAAUGAAACCUUUCUCGACUAUCUCCCACACGUCAUGUGCUCCUAGGAUAGCCUUCAUUCGUAGACUCCAAUUAUCAUAGUUGCUCUUUGUGAGCACCGGGACUUGGAAGGGAACAUUAUUACUCGCCAUCUUUAGGAUCUUCAAGCUCUGAUACCACUUUGUUAGAGUAAAAUUCUUUUAGAGGUAAUGGAGAAAGUGUUUAAGUGUUUUGAGAGAGUUUUUUAGGAAAUAGAACUUUUAUUACUUUGCUUUAAACUUGAAUACAACUUCACAACAUUACAACAUUUGAGAAGGGGAGGAGGUAUUUAUAGCCUCCAAACUACAAAAUAUCUAAAAUAUUUUAAUCCUAAAUCUAGAGAGUUCUUAUAUAAGAUCUAGAUUACAUUAUUCAAAUUAUCUAGAUUAUUCUAUUAAAGUAUCUAGAUUUUUAUGUUUAAGGAGGUGGAAGAUGAUUGUAGAAAAUUUCUAGAAUCUUUUAAGGAGAUGGAAAUGAUGAUAUUUCUAAAGAAAACUUUAGAACUUAGAUUUGGCCAUAAUUAAUUAUUGGAUAAUUGAUCCAAUAAUUAAACUUUU